AUUGAACGCUGGCAGCAGGCUUAACACAUGCAAGUCGAGCGGGGUGAUGGUGCUUGCACUAUCACUUAGCGGCGGACGGGUGAGUAAUGCUUAGGAAUCUGCCUAUCAGUGGGGGACAACAUCUCGAAAGGGAUGCUAAUACCGCAUACGUCCUACGGGAGAAAGCAGGGGAUCACUUGUGACCUUGCGCUAAUAGAUGAGCCUAAGUCGGAUUAGCUAGUUGGUGGGGUAAAGGCCUACCAAGGCGACGAUCUGUAGCGGGUCUGAGAGGAUGAUCCGCCACACUGGGACUGAGACACGGCCCAGACUCCUACGGGAGGCAGCAGUGGGGAAUAUUGGACAAUGGGGGGAACCCUGAUCCAGCCAUGCCGCGUGUGUGAAGAAGGCCUUAUGGUUGUAAAGCACUUUAAGCGAGGAGGAGGCUCUUUUGGUUAAUACCCAAGAUGAGUGGACGUUACUCGCAGAAUAAGCACCGGCUAACUCUGUGCCAGCAGCCGCGGUAA
rnacentral:rRNA from 1 species